rnacentral:rRNA from 1 species
GGCCUAACACAUGCAAGUCGAGGGGUAACAUGAGUGCUUGCACUUGAUGACGACCGGCGCACGGGUGCGUAACGCGUAUACAAUCUACCUUAUAGAGGGGAAUAGCCCAGAGAAAUUUGGAUUAAUGCCCCAUGGUAUUAUUGAGUAGCAUUAUUUGAUAAUUAAACAUUUAUGGCUAUAAGAUGAGUACGCGUUCUAUUAGCUAGAUGGUAAGGUAACGGCUUACCAUGGCGACGAUAGAUAGGGGUCCUGAGAGGGAGAUCCCCCACACUGGUACUGAGACACGGACCAGACUCCUACGGGAGGCAGCAGUGAGGAAUAUUGGACAAUGGGAGCAAUCCUGAUCCAGCCAUGCCGCGUGCAGGAAGACUGCCCUAUGGGUUGUAAACUGCUUUUAUACAGGAAGAAAAAGGUGUACGUGUACACUGUUGACGGUACUGUAAGAAUAAGGAUCGGCUAACUCCGUG